UUUCUAUCUUGGGGCCCAAAGCCUUCAUUACCUAAAUAAAAUGAGGCCUGAAAUAGAAGAGUCAGAUUUUUUUAACUCUUUACUGACAUUUUCUUUAUGUCACAAAUUACGGUUUAGUAUCCUUGUGAGCCGUGGAGCACCUAGAUAAGGAUGAAGUUUCCAUGUCACAUUUUCAUAGUCAUAUUUAGACAAGAAGUAUAAUGUCUUACCAGACUCAAACAGCGUGCAGUUUUGUACAAGUUAGAAGAAGAAAUCUCUUUAUGUUAACUUGACAAUGGAAGGUCUGUGCAGCUGUGAGUAACACUACACGCUUCUCUGCAGGUCAGUUCCCCAAAGCACAGAAUGGUAACUGUGAUGUCACCCACCUGGCUGGUCUCAGUGGCAUCAAUGGCUGCAGACUCACAGCUGAGAAGGAGAGACAUGGAAGGCCUCUGUGACAACGUCCCUGCCCCACCCCCCAAGAGUAACAACCUAGACAGGAAGCCACCGAAGAGAACUCUUAGAAUGGUGACAAGGCUGCUGAAGUGCAGCUCUUCACAAUGGACGGCUACUGGCGGGCACGCGUGGGGAAGGACUCACUCUUCUUUAAGGGGCUGGCCACAGGGAGCCUGACCGUGCUCCAGGAGAUCUCCACCGUGGGAAGCGGAGUUUUAAACCUGAAUGGUCUACUCACCCAAUUCCACCGCGGAUUAAGAUUCUUAAGCAUUUCAGACCUUCUUUCUGUUCUAAGCUGAAGAAUUACGGACUCAUCUACAUUUUUAUUGUAAAUAAUGCGUCCAGUUGUAGAGUAAUUGAAGCUUUGUACUCCCGAGCCUCUGAGACACAAAACAAAUUUGCCUGAAUCAAACAGUCCAGGUACAGGGAUUUGUAAUUCGGAAUAAGCCUUGAUAAAGGAAUACCAAUUAGCCAAGCGAAAAUCGCUUUUAUGGUUGUGCUGGUGCAUUGGUUACAGAGUUUUGAUUCACACCUUUUCCUUAAUCUUUUUCUCUUUCCAUUUCUCACAAAACAUUACUAAGAACACAAUGCCUGACCUAGAAGGAGACUAUGUAAAGGUAGGCUGGGGGACCCCCCCCCCAUGUCACCUCAAAGACAGGACACAGCUUCACCGUCACAGCGUCUGUCCUGAAACAGUUCCUAAGGGCUUAGACACACUAUCAUCAUGCAACAGUGCACUUGAAGAAGAAAGAACUCAUACCAACGUUUUUUGGGUGUCGGUGUGGAUGCCAAGGACUUUCACAUGCUAAUAGAAACUUCUAACAUGAGAUCCAUAAGGAAAAGCUGCGUGUUUGCUCCCAAAAGCACACAGAGAAGAGUGAGAGAGGAAAACCAGGUGGGCUUUCACCAUGCAGAUGGCCCUGGCCUCCCAUGUGAGUGUGCAUCCUGGGCCCUCUCCACACGUCUGUCCUUUUGGGGUCUCCUACCUGGUACAUUGUCACAGGAAACCAUGGUCUGGGACUGGACAUCACAGCCUGGAGCAAACAGAGGAAUGGGUGUGCACCAGCAGUGGAUGAGCCGGAAAGAGAAGCUAAUAACUGCACAGAAUAGAUGGUGCAGGCAGAGCCCUUGGCUGGCUUCGCUCCUCUGACUGGGACACUGAGGCUCUUUACGCAGCUCAGGAUAACAAGUGACAGGUGAGAGGGGCAACACAUGAAAUAGGGGGUUUGAUUCCCUAGAAUUCCACACAAAGGACAGAUCACAGGGCAUGGGACAGACACAAGUCCUUAAGAGUCCCUAGGCAUGGGCGCACAGAUCUGCAUCCAGAACUUAGAAAAAUGGGGUAAACACUGUCUGCCCUUGAAUUGAGGCCAGUCAGCUGCUACUUUGAGCUAUCCUAAGAAUUUGUUCUCCUUUUGUUGAAUAUUCUCCCAUUUUUAUACUUUGCAAUAUGUUUUCACAAUUUUGUGUGUGUGUGUGUGCAUGUGUACACAUGUGGACAUAUAUGUGCACAUUCUAUACAGUUAGAAGAAUGGUCUAUGACAGCCAUAGUUUGGUUUUGAAUGAGUGUGUCUAUUAAGUUAUAUAGCAAACCAAAGUAAAAGAAUAAAUAGCAAGAGAUAGAUAAAUAGCAAACAUUAUCCAAUUAAGGCUCAGACCAUCCAGUAGAAGUUGACUGGGGAGGCCCCUUUAUGGCAACUGGCUGGAGUUCCUAAUAGAGUCCCCGACAGAGCAGCGUGUCCCUCUGGGUGAAGCUUUUGGUAAAAGAAGAAGCAGCAACAAAUAGAGACGACAUCAUCAAGUCAGGCAGUCAUGUGCCCAGCAGAAAGUGAAUGGGAAGCUGAGGCAGGCAGCUGGAGUCCCCAGUUGGGUUCUCUAGGCGUAAGUGUUCAAGAACCAAAUUUUGGGCUUCCUGUAUCCACUGCACACACUUUCACACCACAGGACAAACAAUAGUGACCUCUGCUGGACAUGGUCUGCCUUCUAGGUGUGUUCGAAGACAAGAUACUGUUCUCUUUCCUCCCGGCCACAAGGUUGGGGGUUGGGGGAG